rnacentral:rRNA from 1 species
GAUGAACGCUGGCGGCGUGCCUAAUACAUGCAAGUCGAGCGAAGCGGGGGCGGGUGAGUAACACGUGGAUGACCGCCUAUAAGACUGGGGUAACUUCGGGAGACCGGAGCCAAACCAGAAACUUAUAGAUGGAUCCGCGGUGCAUUAGCUAGUUGGUAAGGUAACGGCUUACCAAGGCAACGAUGCAUAGCCGACCUGAGCGGGUGAUGGGCCACACUGGAACUGAGACACGGUCCAGACUCCUACGGGAGGCAGCAGUAGGGAAUCUUCCGCAAUGGGCGAAAGCCUGACGGAGCAACGCCGCGUGAGUGAUGAAGGUCUUCGGAUCGUAAAACGCUGUUAUUAGGGAAGCGGUACCUAAUCAGAAAGCCACGGCUAACUACGUGCCAGCAGCCGCGGUAAUUC